CGAAAUAGCUUUAGGGCUAGCCUCAAGUUAGUGAUGUGGGGGUAGAGCACUGAAUGGCCUAGGGGCGUAUAUACGUUACCAAAGCCUAUCAAACUCCGAAUACCAUAUCAUGAUGCUUGGGAGUCAGACUCCGGGGGAUAAGCUCCGUAGUCGAAAGGGAAACAGCCCAGACCACCAGCUAAGGUCCCUAAGUACAGGUUAAGUGGGAAAGGAUGUAAGACUACACAGACAACCAGGAUGUUGGCUUAGAAGCAGCCAUUCAUUUAAAGAGUGCGUAAUAGCUCACUGGUCGAGUGGUCUUGCGCCGAAGAUGUCCGGGGCUCAAACCUGUCACCGAAGCUGUGGAA
rnacentral:ncRNA from 1 species